UACGAACCGUCCAAACGUUACUCGGAAUCACUGGCUUAAAGGGUGCGUAGGCCGCGCGGAGGGUGGGAUGUGAAAUCCCCCGGCUCAACCGGGGAAUAGCGUCCCAAACCGCCGUGCUCGAGGGAGACAGAGGUGAGCGGAACUGAUGGUGGAGCGGUGAAAUGCGUUGAUAUCAUCAGGAACACCAGUGGCGAAAGCGGACUCACUGGGU
rnacentral:rRNA from 1 species